rnacentral:rRNA from 1 species
ACACAUGCAGUCGAGCGGCAGCGGGAAGAUAGCUUGCUAUCUUUGCCGGCGAGCGGCGGACGGGUGAGUAAUGCCUAGGGAUCUGCCCAGUCGAGGGGGAUAACAGUUGGAAACGACUGCUAAUACCGCAUACGCCCUACGGGGGAAAGGAGGGGACCUUCGGGCCUUCUGCGAUUGGAUGAACCUAGGUGGGAUUAGCUAGUUGGUGAGGUAAUGGCUCACCAAGGGGACGAUCCCUAGCUGUUCUGAGAGGAUGAUCAGCCACACUGGGACUGAGACACGGCCCAGACUCCUACGGGAGGCAGCAGUGGGGAAUAUUGCACAAUGGGGGAAACCCUGAUGCAGCCAUGCCGCGUGUGUGAAGAAGGCCUUCGGGUUGUAAAGCACUUUCAGUAGGGAGGAAAGGGUGAGUCUUAAUACGGCUCAUCUGUGACGUUACCUACAGAAGAAGGACCGGCUAACUCCGUGCCAGCAGCCGUGGUAAUACGGAGGGUCCGAGCGUUAAUCGGAAUUACUGGGCGUAAAGCGUGCGCAGGCGGUUUGUUAAGCGAGACGUGAAAGCCCCGGGCUCAACCUGGGAAUUGCAUUUCGAACUGGCGAACUAGAGUCUUGUAGAGGGGGGGUAGAAUUCCAGGUGUAGCGGUGAAAUGCGUAGAGAUCUGGAGGAA